ACUAAAAAACCAUGAAUUUUCGUGUCUAACGUUUGACCGUUCAUCUUAUUUAAAAAAAAUAUGAAAAAAAUUAAAAAGACAAGUCACGCAUAAAGUAUUAAUCAUGUUUUAUCAUCUAACAACAAUGAAAAUACUAAUUAUAAAAAAAUCAUAUAAGACAGAUAGUCAAACGUUGGACACGUAAACCCAGGGCUUUUUUUUUU
rfam:Oryza glumipatula chromosome 2, whole genome shotgun sequence.